UACGUAGGGGGCAAGCGUUGUCCGGAAUCAUUGGGCGUAAAGCGCGUGUAGGCGGUCCGGUAAGUCCGCUGUGAAAGUCGGGGGCUCAACCCUCGGAUGCCGGUGGAUACUGUCGGGCUAGAGUACGGAAGAGGCGAGUGGAAUUCCCGGUGUAGCGGUGAAAUGCGCAGAUAUCGGGAGGAACACCAAUUGCGAAGGCAGCUCGCUGGGACGUUACUGACGCUGAGACGCGAAAGCGUGGGGAGCAAACAGG
rnacentral:rRNA from 1 species